UACGAAGGGGGCUAGCGUUGCUCGGAAUCACUGGGCGUAAAGGGUGCGUAGGCGGGUCUUUAAGUCAGGGGGUGAAAUCCUGGAGCUCAACUCCAGAACUGCCUUUGAUACUGAGGAUCUUGAGUUCGGGAGAGGUGAGUGGAACUGCGAGUGUAGAGGUGAAAUUCGUAGAUAUUCGCAAGAACACCAGUGGCGAAGGCGGCUCACUGGCCCAAUACUGACGCUGAGGCACGAAAGCGUGGGGAGCAAACAGG
rnacentral:rRNA from 1 species